UGUACUGAUAUUACCUUACCUGUUAACAGUGGGGGGGUUUAUUCUGCUGCUCUGGACUGGAUCCCACGGUAGGUGGCGGUAGUGAACCAAUAAAUAGUUGGAUUGCUCGCCAGAAACCCAACCAGGCAGGCCGACUGUUGUUACCAUGCAACGAGCAGACGCUUGUGAAAAGUACUAGCUACAAAAUUGUCUCAAUUGCUUGCUGCGCGUGUGUGUGUGUGUAUGUUGCUAAUCUAGCUAGUUAGCAAGCCAUCAAUAAAGUUCCUAACGUUACAACUUGGUAGACGGCUGGAGCACCGACACCGGAGAGUCUGCCUAUCGUUCCCGAGAUGCUGUCAAAAACCUUACAAUUAAGAUCCAUAUUCAGAGAUUCACCUCCACAGCAGCCCUCUCCCAACACCUUCAGCAGCAGGUUUUGACUCAACAGGAGAGGAGAGGCAUUGAGCUGGACACCCUCAACUCACCGGCUCAAUCAGCCGGAGAUGAUGAGGAGGAGUUGGUGGUAGGCUGGCAGGAGAAGCUGUUCAGUCAGUGGUUUUGUUCCAGAGUGAGUCAGUAUACCAGACUCCACUGGAGAGACAGUACCACACAGAGAUCAUGGCUCUGAAGCGGACCAGGGGCAGACCGGAACCGCAGGACUUUCACCUACACCGAUUCUGACUGCUACACCAAUUGGGAAGGGGUGGGUUUCUACUGAAUCUCCAUUUCUGUAACGGUUCCAUAACCACAGACGCUGGAAGACAGGAAGCAAGUACAGGCUUUCCCAGAGUAUGGUGAGGCAGGUCAAGUCCAACCCUACCUUCCUGGCACAUAGGAUGGCCAAUGUCAGACACAGACGACAGGACAGACAGCCAGUUGACAGCACCUUCCCCAAGUCCAGGCUGAUUACCUGGGAGCCCUCGGAGGACUUUGUGAAGACCAGCCACGUGGUCAACACACCUGUACAGACCAUGCGCAUCAUGGAUGACCUGGGACCACCGGGCAAACUUGGCCAAAAGGAGAAGGAAUGCUUGUUGUGCACGAUAAGAGCAGAUGGAAAUGGAGUGGUUACCAUCAAACCAGACUUCAACAAAGG